rnacentral:rRNA from 1 species
UGGGGAACCCCAUGGCCUUCACUGGCUGUGGGGGGAACCAGGACUUUUACUGUGAAAAAAUUAGAGUGUUCAAAGCAGGCCUUUGCUCGAAUACAUUAGCAUGGAAUAAUAGAAUAGGACGUGUGGUUCUAUUUUGUUGGUUUCUAGGACCGCCGUAAUGAUUAAUAGGGAUAGUCGGGGGCGUCAGUAUUCAGCUGUCAGAGGUGAAAUUCUUGGAUUUGCUGAAGACUAACUACUGCGAAAGCAUUCGCCAAGGAUGUUUUCAUUAAUCAGGGAACGAAAGUUAGGGGAUCGAAGACGAUCAGAUACCGUCGUAGUCUUAACCAUAAACUAUGCCGACUAGGGAUCGGACGGGAUUCUAUAAUGACCCGUUCGGCACCUUACGAGAAAUCAAAGUUUUUGGGUUCUGGGGGGAGUAUGGUCGCAAGGCUGAAACUUAAAGAAAUUGACGGAAGGGCACCACAAGGCGUGGAGCCUGCGGUUUAAUUUGACUCAACACGGGGAAACUCACCAGGUCCAGACAAAAUAAGGAUUGACAGAUUGAGAGCUCUUUUU